AUUGAACGCUGACGGCAGGCUUAACACAUGCAAGUCUAACGAGUGGCGGACGGGGGAGUAAUGCUUUGGAAUCUAGCUUAUGGAGGGGGAUAACUACGGGAAACUGUAGCUAAUACCGCGGACACUAGGAUGAGCCCAAGUGGGAUUAGGUAGUUGGUGAGGUAAAGGCGCACCAAGCCGACGAUAUCUAGCUGGUCUGAGAGGAUGACCAGCCACAAGUGGACUGAGAAACGGCCCAGACUCCUACGGGCGGCAGCAGUGGGGACUAUUGCGCGAUGGGGGCAACCUGACGCAGCCAGGCCGCGUGAAUGAAGAAGGCCUUCGGGUUGUAAAGUUCUUUCGGUAGCGAGGCGUUAACUACAGAAGAAGCACCGGCUAACUCCGUGCCAGCAGCCGCGGUAAUUC
rnacentral:rRNA from 1 species